AACGAACGCUGGCGGCAUGCCUAACACAUGCAAGUCGAACGAGACCUUCGGGUCUAGUGGCGCACGGGUGCGUAACGCGUGGGAACCUGCCCUUAGGUUCGGAAUAACUCCCCGAAAGGGGUGCUAAUACCGGAUAAUGCCUUCGGACCAAAGAUUUAUCGCCUUUGGAUGGGCCCGCGUUGGAUUAGCUAGUUGGUAGGGUAAAAGCCUACCAAGGCGACGAUCCAUAGCUGGUCUGAGAGGAUGAUCAGCCACACUGGGACUGAGACACGGCCCAGACUCCUACGGGAGGCAGCAGUGGGGAAUAUUGGACGAUGGGCGAAAGCCUGAUCCAGCAAUGCCGCGUGAGUGAUGAAGGCCUUAGGGUUGUAAAGCUCUUUUACCCGGGAUGAUAAUGACAGUACCGGGAGAAUAAGCGCCGGCUAACUCCGUG
rnacentral:rRNA from 1 species